ACCAAAACAAAAACAAAAGGCAGGAGUUGAAAGUUCUUUUGUGUGGAGAACCUGACAAUGGGCAAUCACGGUGGAUGUGUUUCGAAGAGACUUCAUCCAAAGCAAGAACAGAUUUGACUUUUUUCCAUCACUUGAUCGCCAGUGAUCACACGGCCACCGGAAAUGGAAGUACAUUAGAUCAGAGAGAGAUAGAACAGAGUAGGAAGAUUGAAGAGAAAUUGCUACUUUCAUUUCUGAUAUGUAAAACUUGUGUUACACUUACACCUCAAGUAGGUUUCCAAGCAUCUAUUCAUCACCUCCAUUUGACCAUAUCAGAUCAAACAAACUAUAAUAUACGCUAUAAUAUCCCAAUAGUUUUGAGAAGAUAAUCUCUUGUGUGUAUAGCAUACUAGUACAUUACAGAAUGACCCAUGUGGAUAACCCAAUAUGAAAUAAAGCUUCUCUUUUGUCCAAUAGGCCAGGGGUUCGACUCAUCACAAGGUAGAUGGGGAACAAUUAUUGAUCCUCAUUACAAAAAAAAAAAAAAAAAAAGGGUUGUUUCAGCCUU